UCAGUAAUGUAUGUGUGGAGAACUAGUCAACAACAAUAGGAUUAUGACGCUUAUAAAAUACCUAUCCUUCAAGUGAUAUAUGUACUUCCCAUUCUAAACUUGCAAUUUAUAUAAAAUAUUCUGGUUAGGAAAAUGGAACUUGUCUACAAAUUGAAGUCAUUUGUUUCUCUUUUAGCAAUACUUCUAUUACUCAUGUCAUCUAUGAUGGUUAUUGACGCUCAAUCCAGUUUCAAACACGGGCGAAAAGUUUUAGAGGAGGAGGCUGUGCCUGUUUACGGGGAAUAUCCAGGUGGUGGAGGAUAUCCAUGACUACUUGGAAUAUAGCUUAUCAUAUAUUUAUAAUUUUUUCUAUUUUAUUUCGAAAUAAUUUGGCUUCUCCAAUUUCAACGCAAUCAUAUAAUUCCCAUGUCUUAAUUUGUCCUCUAAAAUAACAACGAAAUAUAUGAAUAUAGGAAUGAGAUUGGGAAAAUGUAAACACUUUAUUUGCUUGGUGGAAGCUUGGAAUGUAUAUUUAGAGUAGUUUGUGUUA